AGUGAACGCUGGCGGUAGGCCUAACACAUGCAAGUCGAACGGCAGCACAGUAAGAGCUUGCUCUUACGGGUGGCGAGUGGCGGACGGGUGAGGAAUACAUCGGAAUCUACUUUUUCGUGGGGGAUCACGUAGGGAAACUUACGCUAAUACCGCAUACGACCUACGGGUGAAAGCAGGGGAUCUUCGGACCUUGCGCGAUUGAAUGAGCCGAUGUCGGAUUAGCUAGUUGGCGGGGUAAAGGCCCACCAAGGCGACGAUCCGUAGCUGGUCUGAGAGGAUGAUCAGCCACACUGGAACUGAGACACGGUCCAGACUCCUACGGGAGGCAGCAGUGGGGAAUAUUGGACAAUGGGCGCAAGUCUGAUCCAGCCAUACCGCGUGGGUGAAGAAGGCCUUCGGGUUGUAAAGCCCUUUUGUUGGGAAAGAAAAGCAGCAGGUUAAUACCCCGCUGUUCUGACGGUACCCAAAGAAUAAGCACCGGCUAACUUCGUG
rnacentral:rRNA from 1 species